rnacentral:rRNA from 1 species
AGAAUCAACGCUGGCGGCGUGCCUAACACAUGCAAGUCGAACGAGAAAGUGGAGCAAUCCAUGAGUAAAGUGGCGACCGGGUGAGUAACACGUGACUAACCUACCUUCGAGUGGGGGAUAACCUCGGGAAGCCGAGGCUAAUACCGCAUAACAUCGCAAGAUCAAAGCAGCAAUGCGCUGGAAGAGGGGGUCGCGGCUGAUUAGCUAGUUGGCGGGUAACGGCCCACCAAGGCGAAGAUCGGUA